CGGCGCCUCUGCCCGUGGGUUGCCAGCCCCGCCGGCAGCAAGCCUGCUGCAAGCAGGCCACCGGUCGGCUGCUGCAGACGCAGCCCCUGUGCUGCCCGCCUUCGGCUGCGCUUCACGCACGCAGAUCGAGGGCAGCAACUGUUGCUGCCCUUUCUCGCUAAACACAACACACGCAGUUCAAAACCAAUCAUUCGCACGAACAACCUGGCUCUGAUACCACUGUU
rnacentral:lncRNA from 1 species